GAUGAACGCUGACAGAAUGCUUAACACAUGCAAGUCAACUUGAAUUUGGGUUUUUAACUUAGGUUUGGGUGGCGGACGGGUGAGUAACGCGUAAAGAACUUGCCUCACAGCUAGGGACAACAUUUGGAAACGAAUGCUAAUACCUAAUAUUAUGAUAAUAGGGCAUCCUAUAAUUAUGAAAGCUAUAAGCGCUGUGAGAGAGCUUUGCGUCCCAUUAGCUAGUUGGAGAGGUAACGGCUCACCAAGGCGAUGAUGGGUAGCCGGCCUGGGAGGGUGAUCGGCCACAAGGGAACUGAGACACGGCCCUUACUCCUACGGGAGGCAGCAGUGGGGAAUAUUGGACAAUGGACCAAGAGUCUGAUCCAGCAAUUCUGUGUGCACGAUGAAGUUUUUCGGAAUGUAAAGUGCUUUCAGUUGGGAAGAAAGAAAUGACGGUACCAACGGAAGAAGUGACGGCUAAAUACGUG
rnacentral:rRNA from 1 species